GUGUAAAAGAGGGGACUCCCCUAAGAAAGGAGUGCCCCUCUCACCCUUGCUGCUGCUGGGCUUUGUGGAUCUUAUCAAAUUCUCAAGCGAGGGUUCCAGCAUAAAGAGUAAUAAAAUGAUAGCUGUACAGAUUUUUUUUUUCCAAAACUUCCGGAUCGUUCAACUCCCGUCUUCUUCGUUAUUUGUUUAGGGUUUCAUAUCAUAUUGAGAUGAAUUGUUACAAUCAGUCGAUUAAACCAGAGAUCAUCAUUUUCAUUGAUUCACUGUUCAGUUUUUGUUUUGUAUUUCAGAAGAGUUUUGUCUUCUUGCACGAUUGAUUUGGGUUAAUAAAGUUGGUUUGGGGCAAAUCUGUGCAGAUCUUGUAUCUGUGACAGGUGUAUAUCGUCUGACAACUUAAAUCCUCUCUUGUAGCGUCAAUUCUAGAUCAAAGUCCACUCCAGCACCGCGGUGAAUCAAGGUGGUUCUAGAUUCAUCUCUUAAUUUGUCCAGAUCUUCACUUGAAUGACCAAUUCGGUGAAUCAAGUUUAAAGAGGAAGGGGGCUAGCUGAAUGAGCAAAUUAGGUAUUAACACAUGGGAGGUUUUUCUUCAGAAAAUUCAAAAUGGCUAUGAAGAAGAUGGAGUCUACUCUUAUGGCUUUAAGUCGAGUUUCAAAGCUGAAAGUGUAAUAUGAUGGAAGGAAAGUACCUUGGCCGACUGAUUUGUGUUUUUUUGAUGAUGAUCUUCUAUUUAGACAGUAGGGGCUUUAAAGCUUACAUUUGUUCCAAGAGUUGACUAUUUAUUCCAGAUUGUAAUUAUAACAUGAUUUUUUAUGCUUCUUCUUUUUGUUUAUGGUUAUGAAAUAUUACUUUUAAUUUAAAUUAUGUAUGUAGAACCGAUUGUAACUGCAACAUGGAGGUUUGUAACUGCAACAUGGAGCUUAUUUGAAAUUUGUAAGUUUUAUAGUAAUUAGAUCGUGGCCCUGAAUAUUAGUC
rnacentral:lncRNA from 1 species